CGAAAGCCUGACGGAGCAACGCCGCGUGAGGGAUGAAGGCCUCUGGGCUGUAAACCUCUUUUCUCAAGGAAGAAGAUCUGACGGUACUUGAGGAAUAAGCCACGGCUAAUUCCGUGCCAGCAGCCGCGGUAAUACGGGAGUGGCAAGCGUUAUCCGGAAUCAUUGGGCGUAAAGCGUCCGCAGGCGGCCUUGUAAGUCUGCUGUUAAAGCGUGGAGCUUAACUCCAUUUCAGCGGUGGAAACUACAAGGCUUGAGUGUGGUAGGGGCAGAGGGAAUUCCCGGUGUAGCGGUGAAAUGCGUAGAUAUCGGGAAGAACACCAGUGGCGAAGGCGCUCUGCUGGGCCAUAACUGACGCUCAUGGACGAAAGCCAGGGGAGCG
rnacentral:rRNA from 1 species